rnacentral:rRNA from 2 species
GGAGGAAAAGAACUAACAAGGAUUCCCCUAGUAACUGCGAGUGAAGCGGGAAAAGCUCAAAUUUAAAAUCUGGCGGUCUCUGGCCGUCCGAGUUGUAAUCUAGAGAAGUGAUGCCCGCGCUGGACCGUGUACAAGUCUCCUGGAAUGGAGCGUCAUAGAGGGUGAGAAUCCCGUCUCUGACACGGACUACCAGGGCUUUGUGGUACGCUCUCAAAGAGUCGAGUUGUUUGGGAAUGCAGCUCAAAAUGGGUGGUAAAUUCCAUCUAAAGCUAAAUAUUGGCGAGAGACCGAUAGCGAACAAGUACCGUGAGGGAAAGAUGAAAAGAACUUUGGAAAGAGAGUUAAACAGUACGUGAAAUUGCUGAAAGGGAAACGCUUGAAGUCAGUCACGUUGGCCGGGAAUCAGCCUCGCUCUUUUGCGUGGUGUACUUUCUGGUUGACGGGUCAGCAUCAAUUUUGACCGCUGGAAAAAGGCUUGAGGAAUGUGGCAGCUCCGGCUGUGUUAUAGCUUCAUGUCACAUACAGCGGUUGGGAUUGAGGAACUCAGCACGCCGCAAGGCCGGGUUUCGACCACGUUCGUGCUUAGGAUGCUGGCAUAAUGGCUUUA